rnacentral:rRNA from 1 species
CGUCUAUAUACGUAUAGCAUAUCAAUAAGCGGAGGAAAAGAAACUAACAAGGAUUCCCUUAGUAACGGCGAGUGAAGCGGGAAGAGCUCAAAUUUGAAAUCUUCAAGGUUUUACCUUGACGAAUUGUAGUUUAAAGAAGUGUUUUCUGUUGAAGUUUUGGUAAAAGUUCUUUGGAAUAGGACAUCAUAGAGGGUGAGAAUCCCGUAUUUGACCAUUAUUUUCCAGCUGUGUGAUACACUUUCAAAGAGUCGGAUUGUUUGGGAAUGCAGUCCAAAAUGGGUGGUAAAUUUCAUCUAAAGCUAAAUAUUGGCGAGAGACCGAUAGCGAACAAGUACCGUGAGGGAAAGAUGAAAAGAACUUUGAAAAGAGAGUUAAACAGUACGUGAAAUUGUCAAAAGGGAAGCGUUUGACACCAGUGUUGUUUUCUCGAAAAUCAAUUAAAAAGAGCUGGAUUUUGUGUUGUAUUGACUUUAAUCAGCUUUCUUCACUCUUUUCCUUGUCUUUUUUAAUGCACUUUUCGUUUAACAAGUCAACAUCAGUUUCUUUUGUUGUAAAAGGGUCAUUGGAAGGUGGCUUUCUUUUCGGAGAAAGUGUUUAUAGCCUUUGGCCUCUGCAAUCGGAGAGAUUGAGGUCUGCAGCGUAGAUCCUUCGGGGUUAGAUACAUUUGUGCUAAGUUAUAGCCUUUCAUAGACAACUUGUUGACUAUGAUCAGUCAUGUAGCUUACUCGCUUAUGCUAUUUUACCUACGCUUAGGAUGUUGACUGAUAUGUAGUCGUA